AUUGAACGCUGGCGGCAUGCCUUACACAUGCCAGUCGAACGGCAGCACGGGUGCUUGCACCUGGUGGCGAGUGGCGAACGGGUGAGUAAUACAUCGGAACAUGUCCUGUAGUGGGGGAUAGCCCGGCGACAGCCGGAUUAAUACCUCAUACGAUCUACGGAUGAAAGCGGGGGCCCUUCGGGCCUCGCGCUAUAGGGUUGGCCGAUGGCUGAUUAGCUAGUUGGUGGGGUAAAGGCCUACCAAGGCGACGAUCAGUAGCUGGUCUGAGAGGACGACCAGCCACACUGGGACUGAGACACGGCCCAGACUCCUACGGGAGGCAGCAGUGGGGAAUUUUGGACAAUGGGCGAAAGCCUGAUCCAGCAAUGCCGCGUGUGUGAAGAAGGCCUUCGGGUUGUAAAGCACUUUUGUCCGGAAAGAAAUCCUUGGCCCUAAUACGGUCGGGGGAUGACGGUACCGGAAGAAUAAGCACCAGCUAACUACGU
rnacentral:rRNA from 1 species